UAGAUCAGGAGAUAUCAGAAAAUGCAGAGAGAGAGAGACAGACACUCCGGACUUUUCUUCCCUAUAAAGCUCUCUCUCUCUCUCUCUUCCCUUUCUCUCUCCAAAGAUGGACCCCAUCAAUUCUAUUUCUACCCCAACUGUCACGUAUUCUUCUACACUGUUACCCAACAACGACAACAUCUUUGUAAAGCUCUUCUCUUUCACUUUCACUUUGUCCUCUCAUCUUCUCCCCCUUCUUCUUCUUCUUGUUCUUCCACUUUCUACAGUCUUUAAUGGCUGCCCGUAAUGUAUGAGAAGUAGAAAUUCUGCCGAAAAACUUAGUGGGUCGGUGGUGGAUAAGCAUUUUUUGGGGCAUCUGACUCUUUCCUCCUUUUUGGUUGUCAAAAAAAAGAUACCCACUGAAAAAGAAGUCUGUUUCUGAGCAGCUAAUUGUUUUUGUUUUUGUUGAAUUCGUUGUACAAAUUUGAUCCGGGUCUUUGCAAAAAGUGUUGCGUUUUGGCCUCUUUUGUCAGGAAAAAAUAUAUAUAUAAAAAAAGAAAUUUGCGUCCAAUAGUUUGGUGCUGAAACUUUGACAUUGAAGAACUAUAUAAAGGCUUUUUUUUUUCCUCUCUUGGGAGUCCUUUUGUUAGAGUUUUUGUAGAGAUUUAUUUUGGUAACGGAGAGGGGUCAUUUUCAAGGAUCUAUUUUGGUACAAUUUGGAGAGUUAAAUUUCUCAGUUUGCGUGCUUUGGCUUCUCUAUGGUUGAAGCAUUAGCCUUCAAAGUGGAUUUUCAUUCAAUUAAAGGCAAACUUGUUUCUUCUCUCUCAAGCUUUUCAUCACAUUUCUGGUCCUGACCCAGUUUCUGAUUUUGGAAGUUGAAAAGGUUUGGCUAUCUGGGCAGCAACUUUUUGUGAAGAAAUUAUGUGAUGAGCUGUUUCAAGGCUUUUGUUAAAGGAGGUAAAGAAGAAAAGAAGGUUUGAAUUUCUGAUGCCUUAACAUCCAAGGAAAGGCUUGGUGCCGUGAACUUCACUCUGCUUGAAAGCUUGGGAUUUUGGAAUUGGAAUCUCUUGACUCCUGUACUAGAUUAUCCUAACAGCAUUGUGAGUUCAAGGCAUAAGGAAUUUAGCUCUAUCCCAGCUCAGAUUAGUAAGGAACACUUUUUUUUUUUUUUUUUUUUU